UUUGACCUCAAAUCAGGUAGGACUACCCGCUGAACUUAAGCAUAUCAAUAAGCGGAGGAAAGGAAACUAACAAGGAUUCCCCUAGUAACUGCGAGUGAAGCGGGAAAAGCUCAAAUUUGAAAUCUGGCAGUCUUUUUUUUCUUCUUUGGCUGUCCGAGUUGUAAUCUAGAGAAGUGCUUACCUGCACUGGACCAUGUAUAAGUCUCCUGGAAUGGAGCGUCACAGAGGGUGAGAAUCCCGUCUUUGACAUGGACUGCCAGUGUGUUGUGGUGUGCUCUCAAAGAGUCGAGUUGUUUGGGAAUGCAGCUCUAAAUGGGUGGUAAACUCCAUCUAAAGCUAAAUAUUGGSGAGAGACCGAUAGUGAACAAGUACCGUGAGGGAAA
rnacentral:rRNA from 1 species